CGUUUUGGCAGUUAUUACAAGUGCUGUUCAUCACAUGGAGGAGAACAGGUGAAAGCGAAAUCUAUCUUGCUCCUAGCCACUAGCUUUGAUUCAGCAUGAUGUGCUCGUGCUGAAAUAUUAUUCAACUCACAGUGAUCAACUUCGUAACCAAAUCCCUUCACACAUUUCAUAAUGAUCCAUGUAUCCAUCCAUGCUGACAGAGAAUUAGU
rnacentral:lncRNA from 1 species